GCGGGGAUAGCUCAGUUGGGAGAGCGUCAGACUGAAGAUCUGAAGGUGUCGCGUGUUCGAUCCACGCUCACCGCA
rnacentral:tRNA from 1 species